UGGGGAAUUUUGGACAAUUGGGCGAAAGCCUGAUCCAGCAAUGCCGCGUGUGUGAAGAAGGCCUUCGGGUUGUAAAGCACUUUUGUCCGGAAAGAAAUCCUUGGCUCUAAUACAGUCUGGGGAUGACGGUACCGGAAGAAUAAGCACCGGCUAACUACGUGCCAGCAGCCGCGGUAAUACGUAGGGUGCAAGCGUUAAUCGGAAUUACUGGGCGUAAAGCGUGCGCAGGCGGUUUGCUAAGACCGAUGUGAAAUCCCCGGGCUCAACCUGGGAACUGCAUUGGUGACUGGCAGGCUAGAGUAUGGCAGAGGGGGGUAGAAUUCCACGUGUAGCAGUGAAAUGCGUAGAGAUGUGGAGGAAUACCGAUGGCGAAGGCAGCCCCCUGGGCCAAUACUGACGCUCAUGCACGAAAGCGUGGGGAGCAAACAGGAUUAGAUACCCUGGUAGUCCACGCCCUAAAACGAUGUCAACUAGUUGUUGGGGAUUCAUUUCCUUAGUAACGUAGCUAACGCGUGAAGUUGACCGCCUGGGGAGUACGGUCGCAAGAUUAAAACUUAAAUGAAUUGACGGGGUCAUAGCUGUUUCCU
rnacentral:rRNA from 1 species